rnacentral:tmRNA from 1 species
GUAAUGGUUUCGACAGGGGUCUUGAAGCUGGAGAAGCGAGUCGCAGGGGAUGCGUCAAAUUCCAAACUUAAAAUUAAACGCUAACAAUAAUAAAUUAGCAUACGCUGCCUAAUAUUGGCAGUAGUCCGACCGGACGCACCUACACGACCGGAUCCGGGCUUCAUCCAUGUAGGAAACGACAAAUACAAAGCUUUGCGUAUUUGGGCGUAUCAUGAAGCUACUGACCUCGCCAGGGUGUCUGUUCCCGGGCGACAGAGGGAAUGAUAAAUAACCGACUACACUCGUAGAAGGACAGGGGAUAGGUCUUUGGACACGGGUUCAACUCCCGUCUGGUCCAU